UGCAAUUCCUAUCAAAGCGUGGAGGUGCUAACCUGAAGUCUACUAAUGGUCUGGAACAGUAAUUCACACAUCUUUUUGAUUUAAAGCCUUUCGGGGGACUACACUUUUAACGAUAUCUUUCUGCCUCUCAUGUCAAGUGCCUUUUUUGCUAGUGGUCACACUCUGAAGGCCUAAAAGCUCCGAGAUCAAAAGAAGAGAAUCACAUUAACUUCUCCCCACUUUGGUGGCAUUGAAUAUAUAACAACAGUUUGCUUCCAAAAGAGAAAGCUGGAAGUCAUUGGAACCUGAGCUGGAUAGGUGGUAGAUCGACGGUGGAGGAAGGUGGAGUCAUCAACAGCUGCAAAUAAAGAACUGGAAAACCUAUAAGACGUGACCUGAACGAAGAACCUCUGUAUCUCUGUGUGAACAGUUUUUAGCCCAAGGAACUGCAUCUGAAUGAAGUAUACUGUCGCCAGGUUCCCAAGGUUCAGAGACAGCUGAUCAAAAGAUUGGUAAGACCUUGUUCACAGGGACUACGCUUUGCUGUGUGGAGUCAAAUUUGCCAAGAUUUUCUGCAACGCCAAUACAGUUGUAUCUAACUUCAAUCUCUGAGAGAGAAACCAGGAAGAAAUUUCACUCCCUCAAGUUUUUACUGUUACAGGAGAGAUCAGCUGAUGUGCUUCUGUUUCAUAGUCAACCCUGGGUGAAGGAAAGGAGUUCCACUUUCAGAGAAGAAAGGAUACAGGCUAAAUCAACUCCUGGUGAAAAAUUCUUCCUUCUUGGGAAAUUAUAUUUGCAAAGCU